GUUUCAUCUGUGAGGAGUACCCUUUCUGCAGCCGUUGUUUCAUCUGUGAGAAGCACCCUUUCUGCAGAAAGUAAAAAUUGCCUGGCUGAGAAAAUUAAAUUUAUGUUCGAAGCUUUUCUUGCAGCACUGGGGAACAAGCAUUUUGCAUUUCUAACAUGGAUCAUAAGGAAGAUCCAUCGAAAAAAAGAGCCAAAUCGCAAUCAUAGUUGUGAAAAAUAUUAUAGACCCAUAAUGUAUGUGAUGAAGGAUGGCUGUGGCUGGACAGUGAGCAGGAAGAGGAGUGAGGAAUUCUCAUGGAAGGUCCUGGAAAGAACUGGAGAUUUAAAAAUCAAAGACAAGUUAGGAGACAUGAAGGAGAAAACUAGAUGUACUAAUAUAUCGGUAUCAAGAACCCCUGUGGGAGAUAAAGGAUGAAAGAAAGAAACAUUUGAAGAAAGAAUCUAAGGAAACUUUUCAAAACUAUAGAAGAAGAAAAGACCUCACAUUGAAAAGAUUCAUAAAUUGCCAAAGAGGGGAAAACAGCACACACACAAAAAACACCAGUAGACCCAUUAAGUAAAAGGGAAGCACAUCAAAAACAGAGGGAAAAGUCUGAAGGCUUUCAGAUCACCUACAAGGCAACAAGAUUAGAAUUCCCUCUGAGUUCUUAAGAGGAACACUAGAGGUAAGAAGACAAUUGAGUAAUAUUUCUAAAGUACUAAAGAAAAACUUUGUAUAUAGUGUUUUGUAUUCAGCCAAAUUGUCACUCCAAUGUGAAAUCAUAAAACCUCUGGAUUCUCAAGGCCUCAGAAGGUUUGCCACAUGCAAACAUCCCCACUGAAAACACUCCCAGAGAAAGGAAGCCAGGAUGAAAAAUAAACCCUGGGGAUGCUGCAAGAGGAAAUCAAGUGCCCCCAUCUGCCUUGGCUCAGCUGGCCCCAAACUCCUGGUCUCUGUGUUGUGUGGACUCCUCCUGGCCAAGGGCCUGAUGCUGUGAGUCCUGUUUGUGUUCCUGACCUGCAGGUGCCACAGGACAGCAGUGAUGGAGGUUUCUGAUUGUAUCAGCCCAGCCUUGCCCCAGGACCCUUGGGUGCAUGAGUCACAGCAUGGAUCCAGGAUGAAUCCCAGUUCUUCCCCUGCCCAGCUAUUGGGAGCUGCCCUAAGCGUUGCCCCCCAUUUGUCUGUGAGGAAAGGCCAGCACUAAGCCUAUUGGAGAGAACUUUCAGCCCCUGAUCUCCCUGGUGGUGACCCCUCACCCCUGCACUGACCCCUCUUAGAUCUACUUCCCCUGCCCUGACUUUCGCCAUUGGAAAGACCUGGGGUGGGGGUUUCUGCAUCCGGGUCAACGCUCAGCUCAGCAUCUUCAGCUGUGCCCGGGCUCCUCUCCAGCACUCCGUGGUUCUCUCAGCCCCACCUCAGCAGGUCUCCAGGAUGCCUCACAUUUUCCCUGUUUGUUAGUGGUCUACCCGAGAGUCCUAUCAAUUUCCUCUUGUGCUUGAUUAAAUUCAACCUCUGAACUGAAAUGUGUCAGAGGCAACUAAGCAAGAAAGCAGAUGUAUCCCCUCACCCUCCUCCCCUCCCACCCUAAAUGAGAAAGAAAUGACUUAAAAAUAAAUAAUAAAAUUGAAACUAAGAAAGGCUGUAAUCAGCAGACUGGAAACUGAGGAAGUCCUAGAAGUAAAAGAAAAAAUCAGAUGCCUUAAAUGACAAGAGCAGUGGAUUCAGCAGCCUAAAACAGGACCCAGAACAUUCAAUGGAAUCUCAUCAUCAGGGGUCAAAAUUCUGUUUGUUUAACGUGUGAGGAGAUUCAUAGCCUAAAAGAGAAAAUCAAGUUGAACUAACAAUAUUUGAUGGUGGGUGAAAGAUAAAUGUUUUGGGGAACAGAAGAGGAGCACACAUCUGUGAAGCAAGAAAAGGCACAGUCAUUUUCCAACCAGGUAACAUCUAGCGAGACUGGGAUUGACUACUCAAAAUGGGGGUCCACCAUGAACAACCAAUUUGGGGUACCACUGCAUAGCAGCUGAAUGCCAGCCCUGAAAAAGGCCACCAUAAAGAAAGUACCAUUUUCUGGCCGGCUGCAGUGGUUCAUGCCUGUAAUCCCAGCACUUUGGGAGGCCACGGUGGGUGGAUCACCUGAGGUCGGGAUUUCGAGACCAGCCAGACCAACAUGGAGAAACCCCAUCUGUACUAAAAAUACAAAAUUAGCUGGGCGUGCUGGCACAUGCCUGUAAUCCCAGCUACUUGGGAGGCUGAGGCAGGAGAAUCGCUUGAACCUGGGAGGCAGAGGUUGUGGUGAGCUGAGAUCACGCCAUUGCACUCCAGCAUGGGCAAAAAGAGCAAAACUCCGUCUCCAAAAAAAAAAAAAAAAAAAAGAGAGAGAGAGAGAGUACCAUUUUCUUUUGCUCUUUCUGGGGAGGGGCAUUGAUAUGGUUUGGUUGUGUCCCCACCCAAGUCUCAUCUUGAAUUGUAGCUCUCAUAAUCCCCAUGUGUUGGGAGGGACCUGGUGGGAAGUAAUUGAAUCAUGGAGGCAAGUUUUCCCUUCCUUUUCUCCUGAUAAUGAUUAAGUCUCAUAAGAUCUGAUGGUUUUAUAAAGGCCAGUUCCCCUGUACAUGCUCUCUGCCACCAUGUAAGAUGUGCCUUUGCUCCUUCUUCACCUUCUGCCAUGAUUGUGAGGCCUACCUAGCUAUGUGGAACUGUGAGUCCAUCAAACCUCUUUUUCUUUAUAAAUUACCCAGCAUCAGGUAUUUCUUCAUAGCAGUAUGAAAAGGGACUAAUAUAGGCAUCGAACAGAAGUCUCUUCAUGUAUAUCUCAGCUCCUUCCACAUGACCAUCACCUAUCUGUGAGAGGCACAACUUUUGCUUUCUUUAUUUUUUUAAUCCUCAUUCCCUAUUUCCACUUGCCUUCCCCUCCAAGGCAACCACUCUAAUGCAUGUGAUAUGUAACCUUAAAUUUGAAUAUAUUCUUGUAAAGCCUGCAGCUUUUUUUUCUGUGACUGUAUUUUAACUUACAUAUAAGAAAUUGUGAUAGACAUUUUUCAUAUAUUCGUUUUGCUCCUUCCCGGGUACAUAUACAGAGCCCACUUCUUUUCAGUGCUUAUUCCAUUGUGUACAUAUCCCACAGUGUAUCAUUCUGAACCCAGGGUGCAUGUGCUGUUUUGCCUCCACUUCUUCAUAUUGCAAACAAUGCUGUGAGGAAUAUUGUCCAUCAUGUUCUCUGGUAGAAUCAGGUGAGAUUUCCUUUAGGACUUAUACCCAGGUGGCAUCAGCUGAGUUUUACGAUCUCAGAUGUCUAAGUAAUGCUGUCAGCUUGUGUUGCCCGAAACACGAAUCUAGACACUAGAGAUUAUUUUCUGUGAGUCUAUGUGAAGUACACAGCACAACCUAUGGAAUAGUAUUGCCAAUAAAAAAAAAUGGAAGGCAAGAGUAAAUGUAGCUGAGUGAUGCUACAUGGGGGCUAGAAGUAUGAUUAUCUUUUUAAAAAAAUUUUUUUCGAGUCUGAGUUUUGCUCUUGUUACCCAGGCUGGAGAGCAGUGGUGCGAUCGUGGCUCAUUGCAACCUCCGCCUCCCAGGUUCAAGUGAUUCUCCUGCUUCAGCCUCUGGAGUACCUGGGAUUACAGGCACCCACGACCACGCCCAGCUAACCUUUUGUAUUUUUAGUAGAGAUGGGGUUUCAUCAUGUUGGUCAGGCUGGUCUCAAACUCCUGACCUCAGGUGAUCCACCUGCCUCAGCCUCCCAAAGUGCAGGGAUUACAGGCAUGAGCCACCGUGCCCAGCCGAUUAUCUCUUUUUUGUGAGAUACUUUUGUGCAUGCUUGGGAAUUUUCAUAAUUAAAAUGAUACCUAAAAAUAAACAGUUGUGUGUCGAAGCCACUGCUGUUUGGUUUUCAGUCAUAUGUGGCUGAACCCAAUCUUUUCUCGAUUUACUGAACUUAUGCAACUGCAGCAGAUUGGGACGUGUUCACUUACAGUAUGGAAAUACUGAGCUUCACUUAAAGAACAUGGGUAGUGGGAUAAAAGUGGACUAAACAAAAAUAGGUCUUCCUCAAUCA
rnacentral:lncRNA from 1 species